rnacentral:lncRNA from 1 species
AAACUACUGGGCCAAAUUUAACCAAACUUGGCCACAAUCAUCAUUGGGGUAUCUAGUUUAAAAAAUGUGUGGCGUGACCCGGCCAACCAACCAAGAUGGCCGCCAUGGCUAAAAAUAGAACAUAGGGGUAAAAUGCAGUUUUUGGCUUAUAACUCAAAAACCAAAGCAUUUAGAGCAAAUCUGACAUGGGAUAAAAUUGUUUAUCAGGUCAAGAUCUAUCUGCCCUGAAAUUUUCAGAUGAAUCGGACAACCCGUUGUUGGGUUGCUGCCCCUGAAUUGGUAAUUUUAAGGAAAUUUUGCUGUUUUUGGUUAUUAUCUUGAAUAUUAUUAUAGAUAGAGAUAAACUGUAAACAGCAAUAAUGUUCAGCAAAGUAAGAUUUACAAAUAAGUCAACAUGACCGAAAUGGUCAGUUGACCCCUUUAGGAGUUAUUGCCCUUUAUAGUCAAUUUUUAACCAUUUUUCGUAAAUCUUAGUAAUCUUUUACAAAAAUCUUCUCCUCUGAAACUACUGGGCCAAAUUAAUCCAAACUUGGCCACAAUCAUCAUUGGGUAUCUAGUUUAAAAAAUGUGUGGCGUGACCCGGCCAACCAACCAAGAUGGCCGCCAUGGCUAAAAAUAGAACAUAGGGGUAAAAUGCAGUUUUUUGGCUUAUAACUCAAAAAACCAAAGCAUUUAGAGCAAAUCUGACAUGGGUAAAAUUGUUUAUCAGGUCAAGAUCUAUCUGCCCUGAAAUUUUCAGAUGAAUCGACAGAACCGUUGUUGGGUUGCUGCCCCUGAAUUGGUAAUUUUAAGGAAAUUUUGCUGUUUUUGGUUAUUAUCUUGAAUAUUAUUAUAGAUAGAGAUAAACUGUAAACAGCAAUAAUGUUCAGCAAAGUAAGAUUUACAAAUAAGUCAACAUGACCAAAAUGGUCAGUUGACCCCUUUAGGAGUUAUUGCCCUUUAUAGUCAAUUUUUAACCAUUUUUCGUAAAUCUUAGUAAUCUUUUACAAAAAUCUUCUCCUCUGAAACUACUGGGCCAAAUUUAACCAAACUUGGCCACAAUCAUCUUUGGGGUAUCUAGUUUAAAAAAUGUGUCCGGUGACCCGGCCAACCAACCAAGAUGGCCGCCAUGGCUAAAAAUAGAACAUAGGGGUAAAAUGCAGUUUUUGGCUUAUAACUCAAAAACCAAAGCAUUUAGAGCAAAUCUGACAUGGGGUAAAAUUGUUUAUCAGGUCAAGAUCUAUCUGCCCUGAAAUUUUCAGAUGAAUCGGACAACCCGUUUUUGUUGGGUUGCUGCCCCUGAAUGGUAAUUUUAAGGAAAUUUUGCUGUUUUUGGUUAUUAUCUUGAAUAUUAUUAUAGAUAGAGAUAAACUGUAAACAGCAAUAAUGUUCAGC